rnacentral:rRNA from 1 species
AAAUUGAAGAGUUUGAUCAUGGCUCAGAUUGAACGCUGGCGGCAGGCCUAACACAUGCAAGUCGAACGGUAACAGGAAGCAGCUUGCUGCUUUGCUGACGAGUGGCGGACGGGUGAGUAAUGUCUGGGAAACUGCCUGAUGGAGGGGGAUAACUACUGGAAACGGUGGCUAAUACCGCAUAACGUCGCAAGACCAAAGAGGGGGACCUUCGGGCCUCUUGCCAUCAGAUGUGCCCAGAUGGGAUUAGCUUGUUGGUGAGGUAACGGCUCACCAAGGCGACGAUCCCUAGCUGGUCUGAGAGGAUGACCAGCCACACUGGAACUGAGACACGGUCCAGACUCCUACGGGAGGCAGCAGUGGGGAAUAUUGCACAAUGGGCGCAAGCCUGAUGCAGCCAUGCCGCGUGUAUGAAGAAGGCCUUCG